UUUUGGGCUUCUCGCAGUAGUCUUUAAUUUACUUGGUCAGGUUCGGAAGAAAGCAGCCAGAAUUAGAAUAGCUAAGUGCCGAGAUCCUGCCGGAAAGGU
rnacentral:SRP_RNA from 1 species